UUAUAUAUAAUGUGCUUGGUGCAAUAUAAUUUCUAUUGCAAGUUAAAAGAGCUGCGAUCGUUCUGCAUUGAGGUGAAAAUCCUCCUCGGUGCACGCAAACCUAGCUAUUUAUACUUUGGCCCCGCCCACAAAUAUGACGUAGUACACAAGGAAAACAAAACAUAAGGAAUGGCGCCGAUAAGUGAAAGUAACGAUAAACUGAGACAAAUUUGGGCAAAUGCACCGUCAAAUGAAGAUGACACAUCGAUUAAAUAGAAUCAUUAGAUAGGUUUAAGUACAGGUAAACCACUCCUCUCAUAAAAAUACCAUACGAGGCGUACUCGGGGACAUCUGCAUGGAGAAGUGUGGAACGGGGGUCACAAAUUACACACGAUGAAAAAUACACG
rnacentral:lncRNA from 1 species